AUGUUUUUAAAGGUAUUUUAUCCAGAUCCCCACUCUGUUUUUGGAACAUGGGUUCUCACAAAGCAGUUUUCAGAUGCAGGCUGGCUUUACGGUGCCACUUGUGACUUCUGCGGAUGCUUGAGUGGGGUAAUGGCUUCUUUCUUUCCUUCCUUCUCAGAAGUGAACCAUUCGGGAUGUCACAAAGGGGUUACCGGGGGGCCAGGCCUUUAUGUGGUGCCCACGUUUGCGGUGGGUGCAGCUGCUGUGCGGAGCACCAGGUGUCACUGUUCCUCCAUGGUGAAGUGCCUGCCUGUGCAUUUUUUGGGCUGGGAGUGCAAAGUAGCUGGAGGUGGCAAAGAAAAUCGCAGAUUGUACCCUGGCAGGAUGGAAAAGGCUGAAAGUCAUUGAUCUAAUAUGGCUAAAACUUGCAGCGUGCUUUUAUGGUGUGUUUGUCUUCAGAAGAGUAAUACUGUGUAAGUUAAAUGCGGUUUUUUCUUGUCCCAGUGAAUUAUGUGCAAAAGCUACUUAGCUUACAAGAAAAUCUUUGUAAUGUUGAAUGUAGCAAAUGAAACCUGGGCUUGUUCCUUUUUAACGCUUCUUCCCAGUCAGUGAGAUUAUUAAGCAGGCAGAUUCAUACAACCCAUUGCAGGCUUGUAAGAGGUAGAGAUAACUGAUUUUAACUUAGCAAGUUAUGCUUUGGUGAAGACCUAAAAGUUGAAGAAAAUUGAAAUCGUUUUGCUAGGUAGGCUGCUCAGAGGAGCAAAAGGCAGGUUAAAAUAUUUCUAACAUCACAAACAGGACCAAGUUGUAACAGGAUGUAUAACUGUGGUAAUGUAACGUUGUUCGUGGGUAGUAGAAGUGCAUCUUUAAGCAAUAAGGAUGGAGGUGACAAAACUUCGUUAAUUAAAAGUACAGGAUUUUGCAGCUCAGCAGGUCUCCAUUUCACAGUUAAUGGAUUGCUACAGGGAUUCUGUUACAAACUAGAGGGGGGCCCUGUUCCCCAUAGGCAUUUUUAGAAAUAAAAGUACGAAGUUGCAUCCA
rnacentral:lncRNA from 1 species